rnacentral:rRNA from 1 species
AACGAACGCUGGCGGCAUGCCUAACACAUACAAGUCGAACGAGACCUUCGGGUCUAGUGGCGCACGGGUGCGUAACGCGUGGGAACCUGCCCUUAGGUUCGGAAUAACUCCCCGAAAGGGGUGCUAAUACCGGAUAAUGUCUUCGGACCAAAGAUUUAUCGCCUUUGGAUGGGCCCGCGUUGGAUUAGCUAGUUGGUAGGGUAAAAGCCUACCAAGGCGACGAUCCAUAGCUGGUCUGAGAGGAUGAUCAGCCACACUGGGACUGAGACACGGCCCAGACUCCUACGGGAGGCAGCAGUGGGGAAUAUUGGACAAUGGGCGAAAGCCUGAUCCGGCAAUGCCGCGUGAGUGAUGAAGGCCUUAGGGUUGUAAAGCUCUUUUACCCGGGAUGAUAAUGACAGUACCGGGAGAAUAAGCUCCGGCUAACUCCGUG